rnacentral:rRNA from 1 species
GACGAACGCUGGCGGCGUGCUUAACACAUGCAAGUCGAACGGAAAGGCCCUGCUUUUGUGGGGUGCUCGAGGGGCGAACGGGUGAGUAACACGUGAGUAACCUGCCCUUGACUUUGGGAUAACUUCAGGAAACUGGGGCUAAUACCGGAUAGGAGCUCCUGCUGCAGGGUGGGGGUUGGAAAGUUUCGGCGGUUGGGGAUGGACUCGCGGCUUAUCAGCUUGUUGGUGGGGUAGUGGCUUACCAAGGCUUUGACGGGUAGCCGGCCUGAGAGGGUGACCGGCCACAUUGGGACUGAGAUACGGCCCAGACUCCUACGGGAGGCAGCAGUGGGGAAUAUUGCACAAUGGGAGGAAGCCUGAUGCAGCAACGCCGCGUGCGGGAUGACGGCCUUCGGGUUGUAAACCGCUUUCGCCUGUGACGAAGCGUGAGUGACGGUAAUGGGUAAAGAAGCACCGGCUAACUACGUG